UUAAGUCAGAUGUGAAAGCCCGGGGCUCAACCUCGGGACCGCAUUUGAAACUGGCAGGCUAGAGUCUUGUAGAGGGGGGUAGAAUUUCAGGUGUAGCGGUGAAAUGCGUAGAGAUCUGAAGGAAUACCAGUGGCGAAGGCGGCCCCCUGGACAAAGACUGACGCUCAGAUGCGAAAGCGUGGGUAGCAAACAGGAUUAGAUACCCUGGUAGUCCACGCCGUAAACGCUGUCUACUUGGAGGUUGAGGUUUAGACUUUGGCUUUCGGCGCUAACGCAUUAAGUAGACCGCCUGGGGAGUACGGCCGCAAGGUUAAAACUCAAAUGAAUUGACGGGGGCCCGCACAAGCGGUGGAGCAUGUGGUUUAAUUCGAUGCAACGCGAAGAACCUUACCUACUCUUGACAUCCAGCGAAGCCUUUAGAGAUAGAGGCGUGCCUUCGGGAGCGCUGAGACAGGUGCUGCAUGGCUGUCGUCAGCUCGUGUUGUGAAAUGUUGGGUUAAGUCCCGCAACGAGCGCAACCCUUAUCCUUGUUUGCCAGCACGUAAUGGUGGGAACUCCAGGGAGACUGCCGGUGAUAAACCGGAGGAAGGUGGGGACGACGUCAAGUCAUCAUGGCCCUUACGAGUAGGGCUACACACGUGCUACAAUGGCAGAUACAGAGGGCAGCGAAGCUGCGAAGUGGAGCGAAUCCCUUAAAGUCUGUCGUAGUCCGGAUUGGAGUCUGCAACUCGACUCCAUGAAAUCGGAAUCGCUAGUAAUCGUGGAUCAGAAUGCCACGGUGAAUACGUUCCCGGGCCUUGCACACACCGCCCGU
rnacentral:rRNA from 1 species